GGGGGUGUAGCUCAGUGGUAGAGCAUGAAUGAAAUCCUGAGUUUAAUCCCUAGUACUCUCA
rnacentral:tRNA from 1 species